GCCUUUUAUCGAAGUACGUGGAUCACAAUGAGCUCAGGAGGAUGGGUACUGACUGGAUAGAGGAUGAUCUCAGGGGCUUUUACCUCCAACCUGUGUUUGCCUACCGCUAGAUCUGAGAGACCUGCUGUGUGACCCUGAGCCCUCGCUGUGCAUCAUCGCUUCCCAGACUCUGUUACUAGUCCAGAUGGCGAGGGCCAAACCAAAACCUAAGCAGAGAGUGAACUGGUUGCAGAAGCUCAUGGGCAGGUCCUCUGCCUAGAAACACAAGGCAAGCAACAUCAGAGACAGAAUCUUGCUAUGUUGUGCGGCAAGCUAGUCUUGAACUCACGGCCUCAAGUCAUCCUCCUGUGUCAGCCUCCCAAAGUGCUGGGAUUAUAAGCAUGUACCACCACACCCAGCAGAAUUCCAGUCUUGAGAAACAGGUCAAGGACAGCUUCAAAAGAGAUUCUAAAUAAAUGUUAAUGUUACAAU
rnacentral:sRNA from 1 species